ACGGGUCCUGUCCAGGGCUAUUACAUAGGGUGGUGUAAACUGUCAAAAAGGUCAAUCGGCCAUACUGAAAUGACAUUGUUUACAAAUAUAGCAGGGAUCAAUGCAUCAAGCGCAGGUAGUGUUUUCCAUAUCUGGUUUGUUUAUUUCAGCAAUUCAAAGGUGAAAAUUAGAUAAUUUAGAUAAUUUUCGAAAAUGAGUGAUUAUCUUAGCUCGGUGGCUCUACCGCGCAUAAAACAGCACCAGAAUGAGUUGUCAGGUCAAGAUGGAAGCCCGAGCGGAACCCGUAUACAAGCAACCUUGAUGUUUGCAUUUUGGACAAACUAGGCUGGGCCAAAGGCAAAGGCCUCGGAAAACGGAAGACAGAAGUUAACUUAAAGUUUUUCACUGUGGAAUCCAGCACACUUCACUCGACCCGGAAUUGUACUCUUAAUUAGUCGACAUUCCCUCCAGAUGGAAUUUUUCGCCACUUGGGAAACCAUCGCUGGAAAUGGGGCCGUAAACGAGACGAGCUAUAUAUUGACCCCUCAACCCUAUGGAAACGUGUGCUGGCCGAUGGCUUUGUCCACCUUCAGCCACUACUCACUGUUCCCUAUCGCUGCGAGCAUGUACAUGUUGCAUAGUUUCUCGCAUGACGCCGUGGCCACUCUUCCCGGGAAACAGUUGCUAGGUAUGUACCUGAGAGCCGGUGUGAUACCUUCGUUUGCCAAUCACACUAUUGAAACUGUUACCCGGCAGACAGAUCUCUCGCUGGAGCUUCCGGAGCCAUCAUGGCCGUUCUGAAAUUCCUUUGCACCCUGUAUCUGGGCAUCAAGCUCAGCAAUAUUUUCCUACCGAUGUUCAUCUUUUCGGCUGAAGUGGCCAUCAAAAUCAUUAUGGGUUUCGAUUUGGCCAGCGUUAUUCAGAGCGGAAGAUAUUUGACCACAGGCGCCAAGAGUACAGCAACAAAGCAAAGCCUGGAGAAUCACCAGUUCAAUCAGGAUAGGCUCAACGGAAACGGCAAUGCUGCAAAAAGUAAUUGCAUUUCUGGACAUAUCGUUGCUUUAACUUUUCGACAAACGAGUUCGUACGCAAUAUAGUAAUAAAUGGUAAUCCUUAAAUUCAGUGCAAUACACUUUUCCUAAGAGUUGAGAAAGACUGUUUUUAUACUACCAUUGCAUUUAUUAAGGCUUAUUCAUUUUAAAGUGCUUUUUUCAGAACAUCGAUUAUUUAAAAAUUCAUCGAUUCAAAAAUCGGCGGCAAAAAAUUUUUAUUAAAAUAAUUUUUUUACUGAAUCGUGAAAUGUGCCAUAGUAAGAAAUCCCUCAUUUUAGUGAUAAACUAAACAUUCACAAGAUAACUC